AAAAGUAGAAAAACUUUAAUUUGAUUAAUUUCAUACCGUGCAGCGUAUGGAGAAGCCGAGUGAAUGUUGUUGAGUCACAUUUCACUCCAGGCUUAUAGUGAAUCGCGUGGGUAUUCCUCGUUCACCAACGCCAUUGCUGGCUGACGCGUGUCUGUGAGACGUGCUUGGGUGAAAGCAAAAGAUGAUUAAUAUAGAGUUCACCGGCGCCAUUAUUGGUCACAUGCGCCUGUGUGAAGAAGACGAAUAGGAUUGUUCUAGAGGUAAAUUAGUGUAAUAUAUAAUGUCUUGAAACACAUAUUUGUGUGUUUAAUUGUUUAUUUUGAUUGUUUCGAUCUUUGAUGUGAAGUUAUUUCUGAAAUCACUAAAUGAAUGCUCUGGUCUGUGAUCAGGCCAGGUUUUUUUUUGUCCCUUUCUUUUUUUUUCUUCUUCCUUGUAUUUCUAUUUUUUUCCUUGGUUCUGGAUUGUGAUCUUCUGCGAUAUCCUGUGAAAUUCACGUUUGAUGGCGAGCCACCCGAAUCUGAUACAGAGAAGAAAAGACAACAAUUCAUAAAGAAGAGGACAAUAUCCUUUCUUUCAUUCUCCAGUCUUGCUUUAAGCAAGACAAUUCCUAUUAGAGACUAUUAAAUACUUUCUUUUUUUUUUAGAUUGACAAAUACAGGGAUUGACAGGAUCCGUGCUUUGAAGAGCAUUUAACACUCUUGAUGGUGUAUGGUUACACAUAGCCAUAAGUUUGAUUGAAAUUGAUAUGUGAUAUUUUGAGAAAAGUGUUUUAAAAA